rnacentral:rRNA from 1 species
GAAUGCUGACAUAAGUAACGAUAAAGCGGGUGAAAAGCCCGCUCGCCGGAAGACCAAGGGUUCCUGUCCAACGUUAAUCGGGGCAGGGUGAGUCGACCCCUAAGGCGAGGCCGAAAGGCGUAGUCGAUGGGAAACGGGUUAAUAUUCCCGUACUUGGUGUUACUGCGAAGGGGGGACGGAGAAGGCUAUGUUGGCCGGGCGACGGUUGUCCCGGUUUAAGCGUGUAGGUGUGUGUUCCAGGUAAAUCCGGUUCACUUUAACACUGAGGCGUGACGACGAGGCACUACGGUGCUGAAGCAACAAAUGCCCUGCUUCCAGGAAAAGCCUCUAAGCAUCAGGUAACACGAAAUCGUACCCCAAACCGACACAGGUGGUCAGGUAGAGAAUACCAAGGCGCUUGAGAGAACUCGGGUGAAGGAACUAGGCAAAAUGGUGCCGUAACUUCGGGAGA